UACAGAGGAUGCAAGCGUUAUCCGGAAUGAUUGGGCGUAAAGCGUCUGUAGGUGGCUUUUUAAGUCCGCCGUCAAAUCCCAGGGCUCAACUCUGGACAGGCGGUGGAAACUACCAAGCUGGAGUACGGUAGGGGCAGAGGGAAUUUCCGGUGGAGCGGUGAAAUGCGCAGAUAUCGGGAGGAACACCGGUGGCGAAGGCGGUUCUCUGGGCCUGUUCUGACGCUGAGGAGCGAAAGCGUGGGGAGCGAACAGG
rnacentral:rRNA from 1 species